GACGAACGCUGGCGGCGUGCCUAAUACAUGCAAGUUGAGCGAUGAAGAUUGGUGCUUGCACCAAUUUGAAGAGCAGCGAACGGGUGAGUAACGCGUGGGGAAUCUGCCUUUGAGCGGGGGACAACAUUUGGAAACGAAUGCUAAUACCGCAUAACAACUUUAAACAUAAGUUUUAAGUUUGAAAGAUGCAAUUGCAUCACUCAAAGAUGAUCCCGCGUUGUAUUAGCUAGUUGGUGAGGUAAAGGCUCACCAAGGCGAUGAUACAUAGCCGACCUGAGAGGGUGAUCGGCCACAUUGGGACGGAGACACGGCCCAAACUCCUACGGGAGGCAGCAGUAGGGAAUCUUCGGCAAUGGAGGAAAGUAUGACCGAGCAACGCCGCGUGAGUGAAGAAGGUUUUCGGAUCGUAAAACUCUGUUGGUAGAGAAGAACGUUGGUGAGAGUGGAAAGCUCAUCAAGUGACGGUAACUACCCAGAAAGGGACGGCUAACUACGUG
rnacentral:rRNA from 1 species